rnacentral:tRNA from 1 species
CGCUCAGCUGGAUAGAGUACUCGGCUACGAACCGAGCGGUCGGAGGUUCGAAUCCUCCA